rnacentral:rRNA from 1 species
GAUGAACGCUGGCGGCGUGCCUAAUACAUGCAAGUCGAGCGAACAGACGAGGAGCUUUCUUUUCUGACGUUAGCGGCGGACGGGUGAGUAACACGUGGAUAACCUACCUAUAAGACUGGGAUAACUUCGGGAAACCGGAGCUAAUACCGGAUAAUAUAUUGAACCGCAUGGUUCAAUAGUUAAAGACGGUUUUGCUGUCACUUAUAGAUGGAUCCGCGCCGCAUUAGCUAGUUGGUAAGGUAACGGCUUACCAAGGCAACGAUGCGUAGCCGACCUGAGAGGGUGAUCGGCCACACUGGAACUGAGACACGGUCCAGACUCCUACGGGAGGCAGCAGUAGGGAAUCUUCCGCAAUGGGCGAAAGCCUGACGGAGCAACGCCGCGUGAGUGAUGAAGGUCUUCGGAUCGUAAAACUCUGUUAUUAGGGAAGAACAAAUGUGUAAGUAACUAUGCACGUCUUGACGGUACCUAAUCAGAAAGCCACGGCUAACUACGUG